rnacentral:rRNA from 1 species
GAUGAACGCUAGCUACAGGCUUAACACAUGCAAGUCGAGGGGAAACGACAUCGAAAGCUUGCUUUUGAUGGGCGUCGACCGGCGCACGGGUGAGUAACGCGUAUCCAACCUGCCCACCACUUGGGGAUAACCUUGCGAAAGUAAGACUAAUACCCAAUGACGUCUCUAGAAGACAUCUGAAAGAGAUUAAAGAUUUAUCGGUGAUGGAUGGGGAUGCGUCUGAUUAGCUUGUUGGCGGGGUAACGGCCCACCAAGGCGACGAUCAGUAGGGGUUCUGAGAGGAAGGUCCCCCACAUUGGAACUGAGACACGGUCCAAACUCCUACGGGAGGCAGCAGUGAGGAAUAUUGGUCAAUGGACGAGAGUCUGAACCAGCCAAGUAGCGUGCAGGAUGACGGCCCUAUGGGUGGUAAACUGCUUUUAUAAGGGAAUAAAGUGAGUCUCGGGAGACUUUUUGCAUGUACCUUAUGAAUAAGGACCGGCUAAUUCCGUG